CUCUGUUAUGGUUUAUACAGUAUUAGAUUACAAACACAGUUACCAUGUUAAUACACAGGGGUGUACUAACAUGUUGAUUGAAUGACCACAAACAUGGUCCUUCAAUCAAUAUAAUCCAACCCUGCCAUAGAACAUGCAAGGGGUAUGGUCUAAGGAUGCUUUAUUUGUGACAAAAUGAAAUCAGUACAGAUGGUCGUAUGCACGGUGCCCUGUCUGGCUUUAUCAGUGCUUCCUAUGAGGGCUAUUCUUAAUCCCUGUUAAUCUCUGUGAAUGAAAGCCUGCCGUCAUGGCUGCACAGAAAGAGAAUCGACUGUCUCCCUGGCGUGUUAAUUUAACAAGAGAUGCACUGGAUCAUUUUAAACGAGGGAGAGAAGAGGACCUGAGGAAGAGGUAAGAUUGAUUUCAUUGUAUUAAUGUAUUCCCUAACAGUGUUUUGAAGGCUGUGGAGUUGCUCUAAAGGAAACAGAAUGACACAUAGUUGUAACCAAUGAAGCCAUUUGGCUAAAUUAGCUCAAAUGAUUAAUUCAAUGGUUGACAGUGGCGAUUCCUUCAUAUCUUUUUACUUAUCUGACUUACAGUCUGACAUUUCUGAAUUUAUUCAUUCAUACUUCCUGAACAGUGAGAACCGCAGGAUGCAACUGCAUUGUGACGUCUUGAAGCUCCAACGGGAACAACACCUCAGGGCGAUGCGUCUGCAGCGGCGGUGUCAGGAGCUGACGGAGCGUGAGGGACGGGCCCGGCGGCGCAACCAGCAGCUGCUGCAGGACUUCCAGAGGGCCGAGGCCACACUGGGGGAGAUGGUGGCCCACACCGCCACCAUGAACACCCUCAGGGUGAGGGGGGACUGGACAACACACCAGCACGCACACACACGCAGGCACGCACGCACACAUUCUUGUUUGCUCAGUUAGUACGAUUUAUUUUGAAUGGAAAGUACCUCAUUACCAAAUACCAUAGGCAGGCCUUCACAUGGAAAUAUGUAUGAAAGUUAAAAUUAAAUAUAAAAAUAAAUGAUACACGUUGACAUUUGGUUUGUGAUAUUUACUGGCCUACAAGAAUGUGGGUCAGCUUUAUUGUGGUGGUGUGUGUGUUUGUGUGUGUGUGUUUAUGUGCGUGUGUGUGUGUGUGUGUCUGUGUGUGUGUGUGUGUGUGUGUGUGUGUGUGUGUGUGUGUGUGUGUGUGUGUUUGUGUGUGGGGAUCGCUUUUAUUGGUGGAUUAAUGCAGGUUAAGCACUGGUUCAUGAUGGGCUAACAUGACGCAGUCUUGCAAGCAGACUUAAUCCCUCUAUUAUAUGUCGUUGGGCUCUUUCAUAAAUCCGUUGAACUUUGACCCCCCGCAGCUGGAGUAUCAGAGGUACCUUGAGGAGAACUCCCCACGCUGGCACCAGCAGCUGAAGGACCAUACCCAGCGUGCAGAAAAGAAGGUUCCGGAACUUGAGUUUAAACCGCUGCUUUGAACCCCUGAGCAAUACGUGUUCCAUGUCUAUAGUCAUUGUUGAGAGUCUAGUCUGCUCAAGGGAAUUGUGCCGCCUGGCUUGUGUUAAAGUUGAUCCUGUGUAGAUCAUUCCUGACCUUCCUUACAGAUGAUGCUCUGUAGUCUUAUCAGUCAUCUAUGGAGUAAAAGCCCAACCUCUUCUUGCAGAGGCUGGAAGCGCUUCUGAAAGACUUACUGAAGAGGGAAGAGGAACAUGUGACCGCAUCCUUCACUAGAGAGCGCUUCCCCCCCCCCCGAGGUAACCAUUUGUCACAUGGAACGUACAACACCCUGCCAGCCUCCAGGCACACACACUCAGCUUUUACUAAACCUGUAUUUAUAACCGUCUUCUAGAAAACACCCAUUGGCCUCAGAGAGCAACGUCUGAGCCCGAGGCGUUCUGCAGAGCACAUGGCCGCCCGGAGGCCUUCGUCCCCCAAACGAUGCCCUCCUCAUCUUGGCUCACUCAGGCUCACACGUCCCAUGAUGCCUUAUGCUUUCCUUCACCCACCGUGUUCCCGCCACCUCGCCCAUCCCCGGUUCACCACCAAACAUCUCCCCAGACAGGGCCUCCGCCGCGGGGGGCCCCUCAGACCAACGGGACCCCCCCCUCGGUGUCCAGUGAGGUGGGGUCCCCUCCAGGCCUCCAGGCGCCCGGGGCUCCAGGGGCCUUGGCAGGGCCGUCAGGUU
rnacentral:lncRNA from 1 species